AACUGAAGAGUUUGAUCCUGGCUCAGAUUGAACGCUGGCGGCAUGCCUAACACAUGCAAGUCGAGCGGCAGCAGCUNNCUUCGGGAGGCUGGCGAGCGGCGGACGGGUGAGUAACGCGUGGGAAUCUGCCCUUUGGUGGGGGAUAGCCCGGGGAAACUCGGAUUAAUACCGCAUACGCCCUGCGGGGCAAAGUGGCCCUCUGAAUAUGGUCACGCCGAAGGAUGAGCCCGCGUCCGAUUAGCUUGUUGGUAGGGUAAAGGCCUACCAAGGCGACGAUCGGUAGCUNGUCUUAGCGGACGAUCAGCCACACCGGGACUGAGACACGGCCCNNNCUCCUACGGGAGGCAGCAGUGGGGAAUAUUGGACAAUGGGGGAAACCCNNAUCCAGCAAUGCCGCGUGGGUGAAGAAGGCUUGCGGGUUGUAAAGCCCNUUCAGCCGGGAGGAAAAGCAUUCGGUUAAUACCCGGAUGUAUUGACGUUACCGGCAGAAGAAGCACCGGCU
rnacentral:rRNA from 1 species